AAAACUGACGUCUCAUUGGCUGGUUCCCACGCAGGCGCGAUUUAUGCAAAAGAAGCCCAUUUUUCCACGCUGAUUUGCUUUUGUCCAACACAUCUGCGGAGUGUGUACGGUGGACAGGCCCUCGGGAGGUGAUCUUGUGAACACUUGCUGAGGAUCCUUGAUGCCGAGUGCAGGAUGUUUCCUACCAGUUUGAAGCCAUGUCUGAAGGGUUCCGAGGUGGAAUGUUCUGCGCUGGCCGAUGGCGGCGUCGGGGGGGGGGCACUGCACCGCAUGCCCAUGGUGACGAGGAAACAGCUGACGCAGGCAACAACGGCAUAGACCAACAUCUGAAGGAUGACAGUGGGAGUUGUGCCGUGCGAGCGAUCUUUGGAGACGCCAUGUUGGCGAUGAGGAUGCCCAGCGGGUUGGCUGUGGAGGAACAGCGGGCUAAAGAUGAUCACCUCCAUGUCAAGUGUCUCCCAUAAAAUUGCUCAUAGACACCUUGUAACUCACUUGGUCUGCCAGAGCAUAAGACCAUGUAGCAGGAAGGGAUCAGUGUUGCCAACGUAACCACUUUCUUGCUAUAUUGCGUAAUCAGACCUCUUUUUCCAAAAAGUGACUCAUCCAUUGGAAAGACUUUUGUAGACCAUGAAUGCAUCUGUGGGCCCCUCCCACAUCUAAAAUCACUCUAGGGAUGUAAUCAUGAAUGGUAUUAAUGAUAACCGCGGUAAAACACCCCACAGUUAGUAUUACCAUUUUAAAGGGCGGUACAGCUUGGUUGGUAGAGCGGCCGUGCCAGCAACUUGAGGGUUCCAGGUUCGAUCCCCGCUUGCGCCAUCCUGGUCCAGUGGUUCUCAAAUAAUAGGACCUCUUUAAAUACUUGACAGUUUGAAGCAGUUUUCAAUAGAAGUAGUGAAUUCAAUAAUGAAUUAAUUUUUUAUAUAUGUAAUAAUAUUGACCAAUAUUCUUGUAAAUUUAUAGUGAAUUUAAAAGUACAUUCGUUAAUUGUGGAACUGUGACAACACUCAUUCUAAACAUGAAUGUUUUGCAUUUCAUGUUUUUUUACAGCCAUUUAUGCAAAAUAGUGGAUUAUUCCAAGGCAAACCACCGCCGCCAACAAAUACACUAUAUUGCCAAAAGUAUCUGGCCACCUGCCUUGACUCACAUAUGAACUUGAAGGGCCAUAUCAUUCCUAACCCAUAGCGUUCAAUAUGAUGUGGGUCCACCUUUUGCAGCUAUUACAGCUUCAACUUUUCUGGGAAGGCUGUCCACAAGGUUGCCGAGUGUCUUUAUAGGAAUUUUCCACCAUUCUUCCAAAAGCGCAUUGGGGAGGUCACACACUGAUGUUGGUGGAGAAGGCCUGGCUCUCAGUCUCCAUUCUAAUUCAUCCCAAAGGUGUUCUAUUGGGUUCAGGUCAGGACUCUGUGCAGGCCAGUCAAGUUCAGCUGCAUCAGACUCUGUCAUCCAUGCCUUUAUGGCCCUUGCUUUGUGCAGUGGUGCACAAUCAUGUUAGGAGCGUGGAAUUGUCCAAAAGGUUUUGGUAUCCUGGAGUAUUCAAAGUUCCUUUCACUGGAACUAAGGGGCCAAGCCCAACUCCUGAAAACCAACACCACACCGUCAUUUCUCCGCUGACCCCUCUCUGUCAGUUUACAUGGUCUACUAAUUGGUGGCUGAGUUGAUGUUGUUCCCAAACUCUUCCAUUUUCUUAUAAUAAAGCCGACAGUUGACUUUGGAAUAUUUAGGAGCGAGGAAAUUUCGCCACUGGAUUUGUUGCAAAGGUGGCGUCCAAUGACAGUUCCACGCUGGAAAUCACUGAGAGCGGCCCAUUCUUUCACAAAUGUUUGUAAAAACAGUCUCCAUGCCUAAGUGCUUGAUUCUAUACACCUGCGGCCGGGCCAAGUGAUUAGGACACCUGAUUCUCAUCAUUUGGAUGGCUGGCCAAAUACUUUUGGCAAUAUAGUGUAGAUUGCAGUCCUGUGGGGGAAACACUUCCACAUUUCUCACUCACCCAUGGAGGCCAUCAUGUUGGCCGUGGCUCGCUGGUGAUCGGGGAACCACAACGCCGCCAUCUUGGUGGGCGUGAAGAUGAUGAGCGGCUGCGCCACCGCUGCCAGCGUCUGACCGAAAAACACCACCGUCGAAGCUUUCUUCUGCAUAAGAAGUGGAAAAAUUCUCUGUUUUCCCGAAAUUCCGUAUUACCAUUUGUCAUUUCAACAUGUUAUUACUU